UCCCGCCUGCCCAGUGACUCUUUAAACGGCCGCGGUAUCCUAACCGUGCAAAGGUAGCAUAAUCACUUGUCCCCUAAAUAGGGACUAGAAUGAACGGCUAAAUGAGGACAAAACUGUCUCUUACGGAUUGACCAAUGAAAUUGAUCUUCCAGUACAAAAGCUGGAAUAAACUCAUAAGACGAGAAGACCCUGUGGAGCUUUAAAACCAAAAACACCAAACAUGCUACUUGGUUUUUUAGUUGGGGCGACUUUGGAGCAAAAAAAACCCUCCAAAACAUAUAACCCAUUUAUUAAGAAUAACACACCAAAAAUAAUUAAAAUAGACCCAGCAACAUUUUAUGUUGUCUGACCAAUGAACCAAGUUACCCCAGGGAUAACAGCGCCAUCCUCUUCUAGAGUCCUUAUCGACAAGAGGGUUUACGACCUCGAUGUUGGAUCAGGACACCCCUAUAGUGCAGCCGCUAUAAAAGGUUCGUUUGUUCAACGAUUAAAGUCCUACGUGAU
rnacentral:rRNA from 1 species